rnacentral:tRNA from 1 species
GCCCGUAUUGUUUUGUCCGCAAGGGACUUAAAAUCCCUCGACCUCACGGUCUUGCGGGUUCGAUUCCCGCUCCGGGCACCA